rnacentral:rRNA from 1 species
UGCCCGGUAGUGGGGGAUAACCUGGGGAAACCSMAGUGCUAAUACCGCAWMCGCCCUUUCGGGUGGAAAAGCGAGGGGGACGYUUCGCGGCUYGCGCUAKUCKGGAUGAAGCCUCAUGUCGGAUUAGCURGUAGGUGAGGUAACUGGCUCACCAWAGGCGACGAUCCGUAGCUGGUCUGAGAGGAUGAUCAGCCACACUGGGACUGAGACACGGCCCAGACUCCCUACGGGAGGCAGCAGUGGGGAAUAUUGGACAAUGGGGGCAACCCUGAUCVCAGCCAUGCCGCGUGUGUGAAGAAGGCCUUCGGGUUGUAAAGCACUUUCAGUGAGGAAGAAGGCCUGCGGGUUAAUAGCCGGCAGGAAGGACAUCACUCACAGAAGAAGCACCGGCUAACUCCGUGCCAGCAGCCGCGGUAAUACGGAGGGUGCGAGCGUUAAUCGGAAUUACUGGGCGUAAAGCGCGCGUAGGUGGCUUGAUAAGCCGGUUGUGAAAGCCCCGGGCUCAACCUGGGAACGGCAUCCGGAACUGUCAGGCUAGAGUGCAGGAGAGGAAGGUAGAAUUCCCGGUGUAGCGGUGAAAUGCGUAGAGAUCGGGAGGAAUACCAGUGGCGAAGGCGGCCUUCUGG